rnacentral:misc_RNA from 1 species
AUUCGAAUCUCCAAAACCCCAAUCGGGUCACAGCGGCUCGUAGCCGGGUUCCGCAACUCGCAAAUUACCAGAGCAAUGAAGAAGAAAGCAACAGCAGGAACCAUAAUUCUUCUUUCACUUUUACUUUCUCUACAAGAUGUUGUUCAUCUUGCUUUCGCUCUAUCUCCUUUAGACAGCAAUCAGGACGUGGAGCAAUCUGCAACUUCAAGGUAGCUCUUUUC